GCAAAUUGUACAAAAGCAGGACUGAGCAGGGUUAAUAAUCUAAAGGUAGUCAACUCCUGGAGCCACUGAGUCAGUGGGAAUCAAUCUCCUGUGGUUCUGGUCCACAGGCACAGGAAAAUGACCUUUGUGAUGUGGUGUGGAUUAAUGUGAGCUUCCAGGUCUCAAUCUGGGGCCUGAGGUAACUACCCUAUUGUUUAAGCAAGAAGAACCCAAGUUCAAGAAAGCUGAAUGGGUUGUUCAAGGACACAUCUCUCAGAAGAGCACACUAUUGUUUCAUGGACCACAAAGAAACUACCUAUGCUUGCUGCUGAGAAAAUGAG